rnacentral:siRNA from 1 species
AGAGCAUGCACAAGUCCACACUC